AUAGUACUCCCUCCGACCCAUAUUACUUGUCUCAAAUUUGCCCAAAUGUGGAUGUAUCUAUGUUUAAAAAGCAUCUAGAUACAUGUAAUAUUUCGACAAGUAAUUCUGGCCGGAGGGAGUACUAU
rnacentral:pre_miRNA from 1 species